UCCCUAGUGGCUCAGCUGGUAGAGCAUCUGCCCGAAAUGCGGGAGACCUGGGUUCGAUCCCUGGGUUGGGAA
rnacentral:tRNA from 1 species